rnacentral:tRNA from 1 species
GGAGAGGUGUCCGAGUGGUUGAUGGUGACGCACUCGAAAUGCGCUUUGGGGAAACCCAACGGGGGUUCGAAUCCCCCCCUCUCCG